AAUGGGACCCUAGUGGCGGACGGGUGAGUAACGCGUGGGUAACCUGCCCCAUACCGGGGGAUAACACUUAGAAAUAGGUGCUAAUACCGCAUAAGCGCACGGUACUGCAUGGUACAGUGUGAAAAACUCCGGUGGUAUGGGAUGGACCCGCGUCUGAUUAGCUUGUUGGCGGGGUAACGGCCCACCAAGGCGACGAUCAGUAGCCGGCCUGAGAGGGUCGGACGGCCACAUUGGGACUGAGACACGGCCCAAACUCCUACGGAAGGCAGCAG
rnacentral:rRNA from 1 species